GACGUAGGGUCCAAGCGUUGUCCGGAUUUACUGGGCGUAAAGAGCGCGUAGGCGGUCUGUUAAGUGUAGAGUGAAAUCUCCAGGGCUCAACCCGGAAACUGCUCUGCAUACUGGCAGACUGGAGUGAUGCAGAGGUUUGUGGAAUUCCUGGUGUAACGGUGAAAUGUGUUGAUAUCAGGAGGAACAUCCAUGGCGAAGGCAGCAAACUGGGCAUUAACUGACGCUGAGGCGCGAAAGCGUGGGUAGCAAACAGG
rnacentral:rRNA from 1 species